GAUUAAAGAAAAGCAAGCUUCCU
rnacentral:miRNA from 1 species